rnacentral:tRNA from 1 species
GGGGUUAUAGCUCAGUGGUAGAGUGCUUGCCUAGCAUGCAUGAUUUCAGGGUUCGAGCCCCGGCACCA